GAGAGAGGCUGGAGGCAGCAUGAUAAAUACAUGAAUCAAAAGGUAUUUCCUUCCUCUCAUCCCCUCCCCUUUCCCAACAGAACCUCAAACUAGACUUUAAUCUGCCGCUUAACAGGGGAGGAGGUUUGUGGGCUUUUAUCGCUGCUGCUUCUGCUGCUCCUUCUUCUUCUUGUUAGAGGACCAAAGGAAGGAAACUGCAAGAUUAGGAAGGGACACAACAGGGUAGACCAGAGACAGCCAACGUGUUGCCUUCCAGGUGGUUCUUGGACUACAACUCCCAUAAUCCGUGGCCCCUGGCCAUGCUGACUAGGGUGGAAGGGAACUGUAGUCUAAGAACGUAUCACAGACAACACAGUGGGUACUCUUAAGAAAGCCCUAUUGGAGUGCCUGCAAAGAACUAGGUGGUGUAUCUAAAGGGAAAAUGGGGCACAUGCCCUGUCCUCAGGUUUACAGUCUAAAGAGCAGCUCAACCCUAUGCAUAUGUGUUCAGAAACAAGUCUCACCAAGCUCAGCGAGACUUACCAAGUAAAGGUAUCUAGCUACUGCAGCCCCAAAAGGAAGGUGGGGAGAGAGGAAAUCAGGUUAUAACUGCACUAUACAUUUAAAGCGGCGUCAUGCCACUGUAAACAAGUCAUGGCUUCAUCCAAAAAAUCCUGGGAGCUUUAGUUUAUUAAGGGAGCUGAGAGUCGGUAGAAGACACCUCUCGCAGAGUUACAGUUCACAGCAUUCUCCGGGAAGAGGGAGUGAUGGUUACGUUAAACUGCUCUGGGACUUGCAGAUCUGCAAGUUGAAAGUGCUAUGCUGCAAAGGUGAGCUCAGUUAAUUGGAAGAGUGAAGAGGCAAGUCUUUUUUUUUAUCAGAUACACCAGCAGAAGGAGUGGAAGGAAUGCACUCCAAUGGUAGGGAGCUAUGCUGGUGAACUUCAGGAAAAUUAGGCUACACUUGUCUUGCAUACCUGGAAGAAAGUCCCAUUGAACUCAACUUCUGAUUAGAGACAUAUAGAACUGUACCAUGAGAAGGUAACUUAGGGCUUAAGGCAGGCAUGUCCAAAGUCUGUUUCAGGGGCCUAAUCUGGCCCGCCGGUCGAUUUAAUCUGGCCCCCGUGGCAGUAUAUCUCCUGGGGUAAAAUCCUAAAAAAAAGCUCAGCAACUUCAAUUCUAAAAAAAGCUCAAAAACUUGGGGGGUUAAAUCUUAAAAAUAAAGCUAAGCAACUAAAAAAAAAAGCUUAACAACAACUUUGGGUAAAAUUGUAAUUUCAAUCCUAAAAAAAGCUCAGCAACUUUGGUCAGCCCUCAUGCAUGUUCACUCCAUCAAAUUUGGCCCUCUCUGGAAAAUGUUUGGGCACCCCUGAUCAAAGCUCAACAACUUUAGGGUAAAAUCACAAAAAAAGCUCAAGAACUUCAAUCCAAAAAAAAAAAAGUUAACAACUUUGGUCGGCCCUUUGGCCAGCCCUCCAUUUCAUCAAAUCUGGCCCUCUUUGAAAAAAGUUUGGACACCACUGUUAAGGAGAGUAAGAGAACCAGGGAGGUGAAGACAGCAUGAAGGAACAUAGAGAAAAGGACCUGGGCAGAAAGAUAUGCAGCAGCAAGAGGGUGAACAAACAUGAAAGUCCAUAUAAUAUGUAUAAAGAAAAGAGAAUACAUAUAAUAUGUAUAAAGAAAAGAGAAUAAGAAUAAAGAUGACAAUGUAGAGAGCAGGAAAGUAGUCUGGCAGUGAUAGCUGGUGCUACUGAAAGGAAUUUUUUUAUUUUGUUUCCAAACCAUACUGUUACCUAUGCACAUAUAAUUGCCUAUACAGCGAGUGCUUUGGUUAUUAUUUCUAUGGAAGGGUAUUCCAUUAUGUGAGAUGACACAUGCAGUCUAAAUUGGUGCAGCCCAGACUCAAGCUUUCUGCCUUAAUGGGAACUUGAUCAAAAGUUCCACAGUCCCUGAACAUUGUUGUUUUGCUGUCUGAUUAACAUAGGGGAAGGUUAUUUCCCUCUUUGUCCCCUAUCUGAGGAUUCUGUUACAGAGAGGGGGAAACACUGCAACUUUCUUCCUCUCAAAGUUUGGGGGAAAGGCUGCAGCUUUUGCGUGUGGAAGAUUCCAGGCUCAAUCCCCAGCAUCUCCAGGUAGGGCUGAGAGAGAUCACUGUCCGAAAUCCUGGACAGUCACUGUCAAGUCAGCGUAAAUAAUGCAAAGCAAUGUGAGCCGAUGGUUUGACUCGGUAUAAGGCAGCUUCCUAUGUUCCUAUUUCCCGUUAACGUCUCCUCCGGAUUGUAAGGCGAGUGUUCUGGAAAAAGGGAAUUUCUGUUUGUUCUCUGUUGAUGCAUGGAACAGCAGCAAUGAAUACUAAAGCACAAAGGCAUGCCAAAACACAGAACUGGCUUGUUCUCAGGAGGAUAGUAUGCAAACAAAGGACAAAGUGUUCUCCUUCUCCAAGAUUCGGGAGGGUGCAAGCUCCUUCUACUGAUAGCCACACAUCGGGCAAAUCCAAGCUCAAACAACGCCACAAACGCAAAGCAGCUCCAAAAAUAAGUGACAGGAAAGGGAAGGCGCAUUCUGGACAAAUUUCUCCGUUAGCGUUGAGGCAGCCAACAUAUUUAAGCUUGCUAUUAACAAUGUUGUGGCUACAGGACUCAGUACAUGGUCACAGCUGGUAUUUAAAUUAUGACAAGGACCGUUGUAAAAUAGAUUCCAGUAAAUUGUUUUGCUCAUAUAAUGAACAAGUUUACUAUGUGUGUGACUUGUAGUCUGUUUUAGGAAAACAGUAUGGUUUUAGGUCAACAAUAUGGUUUUUGGGUAAACAAUAUGGUGGGGGGGGGGAGUAGUAAAAUCCAGAUUUUGAAAGGCUUUUGCUGUUGUAGUCUGUCAUGGUUCUGCCCAUCAGAACUCUCAACAUUGGCCUGCCAGGUUUUGGGUUCCUCUGCCCCCCACCCCAAGCUAUGGUUUUGUUGUCGGCCGGCCUACUAUGAUGCACAGCUUGUGAGCAUGUGGUGUAGUGGUUAGUGUUAGGUUAGGAUUUGGGAGACCAGGGUUUAAAUCCCCACCCAGCCAUGGGGCUCACUGGAUGACCUUGGGCCAGUCAGUGUUUCUCAGCCUAACUUACACCACAGGAUUAUUGCUGGGGGGGAUGGGGACAAUGCAACCAACCUUGCUUAGAGGAAAAGUGGGAUCAAACACAGGGAUGGUGAUAACACAGCUGCAGAAGGUGCUACUGUGAUUUCACCCCAGGUACGCCACCCAUAGUGCCAAUAUAGAUAUAUAUUUAUGCAAUAUAUAUGACACACACACACAAACAUAUGCAAAUUCAAAAGAAUGCAAGGAGGAAAAAACACAAACAAAGCUAGCCCCCUCAAAAGUCUAAGUGCAAGCUAAAACUGAUCAGUCUCAGACAGUUUAAAAUUAGAGAUGUUAAAAUAAUAUUAAACGUGUACAUGUAGGCAGUAUACAAUACCCUCCAACAUUUCUCCGAUGAAAAUAGGGACAUCCUAUUCUAUUAUUAUUAUUAUUAUUAUUAUUACCCCACCCAUCUGACUGGGUUGCCCCAGCCACUCCAGACAGCUUUCAACAUAUAUAAAAACAUGAUAAAACAGUAAACAUUAAAAGCUUCCCUAUACAGGGCUGCCUUCAGAUGUCUUCUAAAGUUUGUCUUAUUUCUUUGCCCUGGGGGAUCACAUAAUUCCAUACCCUCUAACAUUUCUCUGAUGAAAAUAGGAACAUUCCAAGGAUGCUCAGGGGAGGAACAGCCAAAGGGGGUCACUGCUAGUUAGAGCAGACAGUACUGUGCGCAGGAGAUAAAGAGUCUGCAUCUGUAUGAGGUAACUUAAUGGGUCUGAGAACUGCCGCCUUUUGCAAAACAGGGGAGAAGACGUGAGGUGAUGGUGAUGGGGAAAGCUGAAGAAGAAACGGAAGAGCAGGUCUCUUUAACACCUGGAGCAUAAUAAAACUAUUCACUGUGGUUGUUUAGUUGCAUAUGCGAGCCUUGGCGCCAAUACUUUCUGGCAGGGUCGCUCUGAUAUCCACAACUCCUGCUAUUGUGGCGCAGUCAAAUAAGGAAGCUGGAAUGCACUUAACAAGAAGCAGCUACCGAAUUUCUCUUAAGCCAGCCUCUGAAGGGAACGUUUGUGCAGCCUGUAACAUACACCCCAAGGGAAAGCCUAUUAGCUGCACUCUCGUAUUAAUGCCGCACAAGAUGAAGCAAUCUGGACUUUUCCCAACGAGAGGAAAAGGGAGCAGUGCCUGUCUUUUGAAAUCAAAUCCCCCUGCCAUGCAAAGCACGGUUUUUAUUUAUUUAUUUUCCAUCCCCCUUCAGCACGCAGAGAAAAGAUUAGCAUCAGCGCUUGCUACAGGCAGAAAGGAAGGAGGAAGCCCACCACACAUGGGUCCUGUUCCAAUGCAUGAGAGCCAGAGAUGGCUUGAUAGAAAGGAGUGGGAGAGCAUGUGGCAACUGUGGAGAAUAAGGAUGAGCAGGUUGCAAUUCCAUACUAGGGGACAGCAGCAGAGAACCCCUGAGAAUUGGGUGUGGAUUUUCUUUUUUAAAACAAAGGUUUGUGGGUUGUUGGCUUUUUUAAAGCUGAGCAUUACCAGCCUGCCAAAAUUCUUCCACUGCCCAGUGAAAUGGGAUCAAUUUGGGAAGAACCUAGAAAGACCCCUGCUGGAUCAGUCCAAUGGACCAUAAUCUACUGCAGCAUCCUGUUCUCACAAGGGGCCGAUCAGGUGUCCUGCAAGCAGCACACAAGCGCAACAGCACUCUCCUGUGAUUCCCAGCGACUGGCACAUCUUCUAAAAGCCCUGCUGAAAAAUGUUCAACCUCAUCUUCAGCAACAGCAAACUUCGGUUUGAUUUGGAAAGAGAUAAAUGGCUCCUUUGGGCCAAUACAGCAGCUGUCCCAGGCAGUAAAGCUUGGCAGGUAAAAAAGCAGGUCCCAGUGUAACCAUACAAGAAAACCAACAAAGCAUCUUGCAGCUUUCAAGGUAUUUCAAGCCCCUCUGUUCAUUUUGCCAUAACAGAUGAACAUGGGGAAAAGGCUAUGGGUUGCACCUAGAAGUUCAACAGGUAUGGGGCUAUAUACAGUGGAACCUCUACUCAUGACCACAGUCCGUUCCGGAGACCCGUCCUUAUGGCGAAAUGGGUCGCUGGGAGAGGCGCUGUUGUGCGCAGGCGGCGAUUGCCCGCUUCUGCGCAUGCGCGAAUGGCAGCAAGCCUGCCGGUUACUUCCGGGUUUGCCGUGGUCGCAACUUGGAAUGUCCACUAGUGGAGGCAGUUGUAAGUAGAGGUUCUACUGUAUAACAGACACAGAUGUAUCUUGCCUUCCAUAUAUGGUAUGCCAUCUAGAGGGGGGUCGUCGUGAUAAUAGCAUGUUACAGCAAAUAUAACAAAGGACAUUGUGGCACCCUAAAGACCAACAACUUUACUAUGGCAUAAGCUUUCAUUGACUAGAAUUCACAUCAUCUGAAGGCAGCCCUGUAUCAGGAAUUUUUUUUAUGCCUGAUGUUUUACAAUUUUUUAUGUGCUGCAAGCCGCCCAGAGUGGCUGGGGAAACCCAGCCAGACGGGUGGGAUAGAAGAAGAAGAAGAAGAAGAAGAAGAAGAAGAAGAAGAAGAAGCAGCAGCAGCAGCAGCAGCAGCAGCAGCAGCAGCAGGGAGGAAUAUCGCCCGGCUGCAAGGCCGCUCCCUGCAAGGCGCUUUCCACCUGGCCUAGGGGGUCAGGCUCACACUCACCAGCCCUACAAAAGAGGCUCCUCAUGAGGCCGGAGGAACAUCGCCCGGCUAUUGUUUUAUUGAUUGAUUGAUUGAUUGAUUGAUUGAUUGACUGAUUGAUUGAUAUGCUGUAAACCGCUUUGAGAUUUUUAUUAAAAAUAUAAAGUAGUAUAGAAACAAACAAACAAACAUCUGAUGUAAUAAAUAUUAUCCUCAGCUGGCAAGACUGUAUGUGUGUGCAUAUAUACUGAGAGAGAUGUCUGUGCAUAUAUAUAUAGAGAGAGAGAGAGAAAAUGUCAGCGGUGGGUUAAAAAGACAAUGAAAUGCAAAAAAAGUGUAGCCCGUGACAAUUCAACUGAAAAAUUUAAACUAAUAAUAAUAAUAAUAAUAAUAAGAGCACAGUUGUGAACAUUCAUUGCAGAAGCAGCAUGAUACCUCAAACUAAAGUGUUAGAAACCCAUGUAAGACUUCAUAGGUUUGUUUACUGCUACAAUAAAGCAUCUAUCAUUGUGGGGCAGGGGAAGUAUUUUAUUUUCCUUCCCAGGACAGCAAGGCUAAGAGUGAAUUUGUGCAUCCAAAGAGACACACUGGGAACAUGGACUGCCUUCUCUCUGAAGUCUUCUGGGCUGAUUUGUAUUUCAAUGGUGAUGCGUUGUUAUAUUGUUUACUUCUUUGAACGUUACAAGAAAAGCAGUAGGGAAAUAGCUUGACAUGCCACAGGGCAUGAUUUUUCACAUGGGGGGGGGCUGAACAAGCAAGUCCUUGCAUAAGAAGUGGGGUUGCAGGGAGCAGGCAUCACCAGGCACCUGCCAAAGCCCACCCAAGUGGAAGAGUGUAGCUAGGAGUGGGGAUAGAAAGCUGAAUUGGUUUGCACUUUUCAAAACAAUGCAGGAACUGAAACCCAGCCAUCCUGACAAAUUUGAACUUAGAACCACAGAACCGUCGAGCUGGAAGAGAUCGCAAGUGUCACCUAGUCCAACUCCCUGCAAUGCCAGAAUCAUGGCUAAAUUAUCCCUGGCAGAUGGUCACCCAACUUCUGUUUAAAAACCUCCAAUGAAGGAGAAUCCAUCACCUUCUGAGGUGUUCUGUUCCACUGCCCAACAGCUCUUUCCCUCAAAAAGUUCUUCCUAAUAUUUAGUCAGAAUCUAUGUUUUUAGCAAUUCUUAUAUUUAUCUGUAAGUACCCGUCCCGUAAGGGGAAAAGGUGGGGUAUAAAUAAAUAUAAAACACCAACAACAACAACCUUUUUUUGUAAUUUGAAUCCACCAGUUUGGAUGGAUUCCAACUCCAUAUUCCAUGUGAUAAUAGUCCUUCAGAUCUUUGAAGAUGGCUAUCAUGCCACUUUGAGACUCCUAUUUUCCAGGCUAAACAUACCUAGUUCCCUCAACCGUUCCUCAUAAUUCUUGGCUUCCAGACCCAUAACCAUCUUGGUUGUCCACUUCUGCACACAUUCCAACUUGUCAAUAUCCUUCUUGAACUGUGGAGCCUAGAACAGGACCCAGAACUCCACCUGGGGUCUGACCAAAGGAGAACAGAGUGGUACUGGUACUUAGCACACCAUACUUCUGUUGAUGUCACCUUUUUUUUUUGCUGCUGCAUCACACUGUUAAAAAAUGCAUAUAUCAGUGUGCAUUUUAAAAAUGUGCAUUCAUGAAAACAGCAUGUAAAGUGUAUUAUUUGAGGCAAAAGUGCAUGCAAAAAAUAUAAAUGUACAUUAGAAUGCUGAUUAAUUUUCAUGAGGACUUCUUAAAAUAACGAUGCACUGAUGUGAAAAUGUGGGAAACUGAACUUAAGAACUAAAAAAUGAGAAGCUGAAAUUGAUAUAUUCACCCAUCUGUAGGAGCAGCAACCGCCACACCUCUUGUCCUCCCCCUCCUUUUCUUUCUCUCUCUGUCUUGCUCUCUGGGGGGUAGUGCCAACCCAGGGUGCCUCCAGACUGUCAUUAUUUCGCAGGAGGGAUUCAAUCGCAUACCAGCACUUUAGGUUUGCGCAGUGCAAGUGGAUUAAAAGGAUUUUGUUGCCCUCGUGGAACAAAUCCAAUCGAAAAGUGGGGGGAAAUAUAAUGAAACUUCGUGGGCUGAAUGAAUGAUUAACAGGAAAACAUGUAAACAUCCCCACAAGCAAAUCAGGAUGAAGGUCCAUUGUUGGGUAACGACCCCGCAAACAAACGCUCAGUAAAAACCAGAUGUAGUCCAACUUGUGUACAAGCAACUCAGGAUGAAUGCUCAACCAACAGGUUGCCUGCAGGAAUCCCUGCUAGAUCAGACCAAAGGCCUCUCUAGCCCAGCCCUGCAAGCUAAUCAUAUUCCCGUUCCUGCUGUUGUUCUCCAGCAACUCAUAGAGGCAUGCUGCUUUUAAUCCUGCAGGAGCACAUAACCAUCACGAUUAUUUGCAAUUGACACACACAACCUCCACAAAUGCAUUUAAUCUUUUAAAGCUGUCUAAAUUGGCGGCUAUCAGCCCUUCGCGUCACGGUAAGGAAUGUAAACACCAUGCUCAUAACCACCUCAGAAACAAAUCAGACCUCAACAAAUGCCAAACAUAAGUCUAACCUCCCCGUAAGCUUUAUGUAAGAAACCAGGAAGAAUGCUGAACGAACAGGAACAUCUAGAGCUGCCCUGGGCCUAGAGAAAAAGACAAGCAGAAGGAUAGUGGCAAGGAGAAAACAGGUGCGCUCAGUGGGAGAGUCUCACUGGAAGUACCUUGCCCAUGUUCCCCCACCCCCCAAAUUUUUUUGGAAAUGACACUCAUUGGGGAAAUGACUAGGCUGGGUCAGGGUAGGGAAAUGGGUAAAUCUCACAAGUGCUUAGUGAUUUCCGUGGUGUAUUUUUUGCAUGCAUGCGGGAGAGAGUUGCACGUGCACUUGUCACAUCAUGGGUUACAUCAUGCAAUGUUCAUGCCAGCCCAUGUACUUAUACAAAGGAAAUUCCAUCUGGAAUAAAGGGACCCUUUAUUAGUGGAAAGCUACUGCAGGUAUGCGUUGCACGGGCAAAGCCAAACCAUAUAACUUUCACCAAGGCUUAAGAGAAGGGAAGGAUGGAAAAUGCUAGACAGCAGGAGCUGCCAAUCUUUUUAAAACCAGCAAACACAUUUAGAUUUUUUGAUCGCUGUGGGCCUCAUACACAGAGCGGCUGCUGGCCGGGCAUGGCAGAACACAACAUGGCUGCCACAUCUACAGGAACAGAAAAAGAGAUGGGACCACAAAAUGGGGUAAAGGCGUGCCCCCCUGGGCAAAAGGCUCCUACAUCAGCCACCACUGUGUUUGCUCACAGUGAAGCUCUUUGAACUGUCUUUUGUUCAGGAGGAAGCGUGGGUGUCUAAUCCUGGCACCCAAUGAAAUGUGGGCAUGAUUAAGGGGUUACAUUUCAUGCAGGAGAGGCCGAGAUAAUGCAAACAGGAGCUAAGCAGGAAGCGCCAACAGUCUCUCAUGCACUUAUUGAGGGGAUAUUUAUUGAUACCUUCCUGUGAGCACCAUGGGAGGCAGCAGCGGGCACAACUGUGCCCAUGGAUGUUGUGUCAGAGUUUUAACAGGAAGGAUGGAAGAAGUUGAGAGCCGACGCAGCCACUGGGGAAAUAUGCUUUACCGGAGAGUGGAGGUCUGAAGGAGGAGGAAGCCAGCAAUCUCAAUGUGAAUUUAGUGUUUCCCAGGCUGCCAGUAAUGAGGCUUUCCCUGUCACUUUGCUCACUCGCUCGCUCCCUCCCUGUCAGAUGCUGAUAAGCAUGUCUGUCACAGCCAAGGCAAAGCUAGAGCUGGUGGUGACAAAUCACAGGGAGUAUGUGUCAAGACAAUCCACCAGCCCAAAGACAGACAGCUGGCACUUGAAAUUCCACAGCCAGCAAUGGAAUUUGCAAAAUAAAAUCAUUAAUAAUAGUAAUAAUAAUAAUAACUCCAAAUCAUUUUAAGCAGCAGCAGCAAUGACCUCUUGGCAGUCAGCCUCAAAGCGCUAAAAAUAACCAGCUGAAGGCCUUGCUCCAGCAUCAACAAAACUGCCUGGUAAACUGGAAAUCCAACCUGUCUACUGCCAAUCAGCAGCCCCUCCAAGGAAAUUAAUAAAAGGCAGGCCUACUAGAUGAGCAGUACCCAGGGUUAGCCUGCAAGGGAUGCUAAGUCGAUUGCUAUGGAUGCCUCCAAUCCUAUAACAACAUUGCCUUCUACUUUUUAUUUACAGUGGUACCUCGGGUUACAUACGCUUUAGGUUACAGACUCCGCUAACCCAGAAAUAGUACCUCGGGUUAAGAACUUUGCUUCAGGAUGAGAACAGAAAUUGUGCUCCGAUGAUGUGGCAGCAGCGGGAGGCCCCAUUAGCUAAAGUGGUGCUUCAGGUUAAGAACAGUUUCAGGCUAAGAACAGACCUCCGGAAAGAAUUAAGUACUUAACCCGAGGUACCACUGUAUUUAAAAAUGUAUACCCACUUUGCUUUAAACAGACAUGGCUUCCCACAAAGCAUCCUGGGAACUGCAGUUUGUUAAGGGCGCUGAAAAGUUGAUAGGAGACCCCCACUGCCUACACAGAGCUACAAUUCUCAGAGUGGUUUAACAGUACAUCCCUGUUGCCUGGAAGCUUUGGGAAUUGUUUCAAGAUUGGCCCGCAGGCCAGAAGUUCUGCACCGCUUGACUAGCCCAGUAUCACCUGCUCUUGCUAAGCAGGGCAUCCUAGCACGCACUGCCAGAUAAACAGCAUGAUUUUGCAGUCCUGUUUCUGAUGAAAUCUUUAAUGUGUAAAUCAGAUGGAUACAUAGGCAAGCGUUGCAAGGUCCAGCAGGUGAAUGGCAUUGGCUGAGCGCAAGAAAGAUGCUGAUCCAACAGUGCCAUGCCCUUCCUUUGGAGUUGGCUGGAGUCUUGGGACUGGGCAAGUGAACAGGCGUUCCUCCGAGUGGGUUGAACCUGUGGAGUUUGUUUAUGCUGGUCUUACCAUUUCCUGUUUGACAGCGGUGUAGUCAGAGUUGACUGGUACCCGACUGACCUCCCCAAUAAGGGCAAGGCCCUUCACUGACAGGAGGUCUGGAGUCUGCUGCAGAUCAGCAAUAAAACACCCGGGGUUGGUGAAGUUAACACUUUAUUCAAAGAAACCAAAGCAGCAACUCUUCCCAGUAGGUUUUGCUCCAAUGAGGCAGUUGCGAGGACUGAAGGUCCCUCCUUCCCACUGCUCUCUAAGGCUCCUCCCCUGGUUUCUUCCCCAGCAACCUGAGGCUCUUUCAUCUUGUCUCUCUUUGCUCCACCCACAUCAUUCCUCUGCAGGGAGGAGAGCUGGUCACAGCAGCCUGCCUCAUCUCUGUCUCCUGGUCCACCUCCUCUCCUGCUUCUAAGUCUGGACCGCUCUCUGCCACAGCCUCUCCCUACUCACAAAACCCUGUUACCUCUUCUCCUUCCAACACAUCCUCUUCCCAGCCUGCUCCCUCUUCCCUCUCUGACCACUCAUCGCCGUCCCUUCGCAACUCCCCUGGAUCCGAGCCUUCUUCCCCUGGAGGUUCCCCAGCCUGUGCCUCCCACCACUCCUCGGCAUCCAGCCAGUCCAGGACAGAUGCCUGGCUAGAGGAAUCCAAUAUCUAAGGAGAGGAACACUUCGCUACCAACCCUCUGGAUCCAGCUCCUUACGCCCUGCCUCACCAGUCCCCUCCUCAGGCCCAGACAUGUUCUUGGGGUUCUGCUUUGGCUUCCCCAACCCACUAGGAUCUUCCUCCUGGGUUGCCCAGCCCCAAUUCUCUGAGCUCCUCCCACCCAUCCUCAGGAUUGGGCCAUCCCUUCCAUGGCUCCUCCAUGGGGCUCAUGACACAGUGGCUCUGCAGGGUCUUGGUCAGAGGCCUUUCCCAGCAGCAGAUCUUUUAGCCAAAUAUUCCAGGGGUCGUCGAACCAGGGCAUGUGCUCUACCACCACCCUAUUCCUUCUCUCCGUUUCUGGCAAACAGCCUCCUCCUCCAAAUUAAAUUGGGAGUUCUCGACCCUCUGCAAACCAAACAGCCCUUCUAAUAAACCUCCACUGAAAACAAAACAAAACAAAAAAAGCCACAAGGAGGUUGAAGCGUGCCUGUGCCUUUGAAGCAGUCGGCAUCUUGCAUUCGCACUCCACUCCGCAGGGCAAACUUAACAUGACGGAAUUGGAUUCCUUUAACAUUAAAGAUAAUCUAAGUGCAAAGGGAACAAUGUCCGCCAAAGGGGAACGGCAGGAGUGUUUAAAGGAACGCGCAAGGCAUGCCCCAUUACUUGCAUAGUCUUAAUCAGCCUUUGUCUCUAUUGAUCCUGCUUGGUUAGGGAGCCUUCUGUCUAACCCUGCCUGCCAAGCCAUGCGUGGUGGGACUAGCUUUCCUCGCUAAAUUAAGUGGCAGAACAAAUAAGAACGCAUUAAAAAGAGAAGUGUUCUUUUCAUAUAAAGUGCACGGCCACCCCUCCUUUACUCGCAAGGGCUGAUUCACUUCCAGGGCUCCCACAGGAGUGUGUUGGGAGCAGAAGAGCCUCUUGCCAGGCCCCUAUGCAGUGUAAAUCGGAUGUGGGAGAACGUUUGACCCUCCAGAUAUUGCUGAGCUACAAUUCCCAAUAUCCUUGGCCUUUAGCCUUGUCCGGGGCUGAAGGGAACAGUUUUACAGUCUGCCUCCUGCUACCAGUUCUUCACUUGUGCAAUUAAAUAUGCAUUUUGGACUGAUGGUUCUGAAGAUAGAUAGAUAAAUAGAUUGAUAGUAUUGCAAUUGCAAAGAGUGAAUUUCUAAUUAAUUAUUAUAUGCUAAUAUUUUAAGAAUUAAUUUUAUUGUGGGUUAUUAUAUUCCAAUGGAUUAUUGAAUAUUACUGUCAGGGGUUCAGGGACAGAGGCACAGGGUAGGCAGGAGAUGGAGAGCGAUGGGGAAGAAUCUCAGGACAGCGAGGAAGAGGAUGACAAUGACUCAAGAGAUUCCAUGAGUCUUUCCAGCGAAUCAGAGGAUUCCCAGAAGGGGGCGCCGGUGGUCAAGGCCAGGGGAGCCCCAGGGGGGACGUGUCAGGAGCAGGGGGCCAGCGGGGGAUCCCAAAGUGGCAGCUGGGCGUCAGGACCAGUCUCCCCGCCAGAGUGCAGCGAAGGGGGUGGAGGUUCUAGUUUAUCAGGGGAAGCAGCUCCAGCAGCAGAGAAAGGAGGGAGGUCGGAGCAAGCCACCCUCCCGGAAGGGGAGGGGAGUAGUGAAGGGAGUAGUGUAACUGUCAAAAGGAAGGUUAGAGGUUGGCGCGCGCGCCAAGUUCAAAUGUAGAGGCGCGCGGAAGUACAGGGAGCCCGGAGGAGGGGCCAGGUCCCAAAGCCCGCAGGAGGGGGGAAGAGCAGUCUGGGGAUUCCGCGUCAGGGGAAUCCAGGAGGGGCGAAACCCCAGCGGGCAGGAAGACCCUGCGGAAAAGAAAAGAGAGGAAGAGGUGGAGCAGCGCAAGCCUCUUAAAUUGGUGCAGAGGAGGGACUGACUCAGAGGGGACUUCAACGGUCUAAGCGUAACAGACGUGGGGCUGCGCGCCUCGGAUGUGAAGCUAACAAUGAACUGCAAUAAACACUUUUGUAUAUAAGAAGAGAUUGGCGUUGGUCUUUUGUGAGCUGAGACCUGAGGCAGCCUUGACAAUUACUUUAUUUGAUAUGUUGUUUAUUUUAAAGUUAUUUUAUAUUACUUUUUUGCAGAAGUGAAAAUGAAAAACGAAAUGCCCCUUUCAAGUUUCCCCACAACUUGUCCUUUUGAACUUGUGAGGUGAUCAAACAGUAAGCUUCUGGUCUAAGGGAAUUUGUAUGUGGAUGCUGGCCCAGAAAUGGAAGACACUACAGGACUUAAAACUGCUCAUUCUGGUACAAGAAUAUGUGGUCACUGACUACUGCAGAAGGAAAUAAUUCACAAAUGGUGCAUUCACAAUAAG
rnacentral:lncRNA from 1 species